UUUAAUCAACUAGGUCAAGAAAGAUAGGUUCUGACUUCUAAUCAUCUAUAACUGUUCAGCAAGUUCAUCAUUGUAAAAAUUGCAUGUAAGCAAACAUUUAAUUGACAAAGAAGAUAAUGUAAUACGGUAACAAUUUCUGAAGAAGUCAUUCCUAAAUGAAUCUUCUAAAGUCUGCAUGCACUCAGUUUUACUGAUUCACAGAUUUAAUUUAAAAUAAUAAAUAAACUAUUCAGCUUAUUAACCUUGAUAGAGGUUAGUUCCAGGUCAG
rnacentral:lncRNA from 1 species